rnacentral:sRNA from 1 species
AUGAGCAACUUAAGGGGAAGGUAUGAACCUUCGAUAAGGUUCGCGCCGAGCGUAGCGAGACAACGACGCGCAGCGGCGGCCCGAAGGGUGAGGAACGAAGUGACGAAUAAUCCUUCCCCCACCACCA